rnacentral:misc_RNA from 1 species
AAGUCGUAACAAGGUUUCCGUAGGUGAACCUGCGGAAGGAUCAUUACAAAAACAAAAUCCAAACCACACCACUGUGCUCUUUAUUGUGAGAAAAAUGUCUUUGUGUGUUGCUGUGUUGAUGGGGGAAAGGAGAAGAAUUUAUUUUUCCCCUUUCUUUCCUUCACACACACACAAGCUUUUCCUCACAUGUCUUUGUUUUCAAUUUUUCAUUACUCCUUGUUUAACCAACAACGGAUUACAAUGUUAAAACUUGAAACAAACAAACAAAACAAAAUGACAACUUUUAACGGUGGAUCUCUUGGCUCGU